rnacentral:rRNA from 1 species
GGAGUAAAAGUCGUAACAAGGUUUCCGUAGGUGAACCUGCGGAAGGAUCAUUAAUGAAUAAAGGUAUCACGCCUCACGGCUGUGUGUUGGAUCAUUGUGCAAUAGUCUUUGAUCCACUUCCUAUCAUAUCCAUAACACCUGUGCACUGUUGGAUGCUUGCAUCCACUUUUAAACUAAACAUUAUUGUAACAAAUGUAGUCUUAUUAUAACAUAAUAAAACUUUCAACAACGGAUCUCUUGGCUCUCGCAUCGAUGAAGAACGCAGCGAAAUGCGAUAAGUAAUGUGAAUUGCAGAAUUCAGUGAAUCAUCGAAUCUUUGAACGCACCUUGCGCUCCUUGGUAUUCCGAGGAGCAUGCCUGUUUGAGUGUCAUGAAACCCUCAAACCCAAGUUUUGGAUUUCGAUCCAUGCUUGAGUUUGGAUUUGGAUGUUUGCCGGUGAUGAACCGACUCAUCUUAAAAGUAUUAGCUUGGAUCUGUCUAUAUGACUGGUUUGACUUGGCAUAAUAAGUAUUUUGCUGAGGACAUCUUCGGAUGGCCAGGACCUAGACUACUGUCUGCUAACUAAACCAUCACUUUAAGUGCAUCUUUGGAUGUUACUCAUUGUGUAACUUUGACAUCUGGCCUCAAAUCAAGUAGGACUACCCGCUGAACUUAAGCAUAUCAAUAAGCGGAGGA